UACGGAGGGUGCGAGCGUUGUCCGGAAUCACUGGGCGUAAAGGGCGCGUAGGCGGCCUGAUAAGUAGGGGGGUGAAAUCCUGCGGCUUAACCGCAGGGCUGCCUUCUAAACUGUCAGGCUAGAGCACAGUAGAGGCAGGUGGAAUUCCCGGUGUAGCGGUGGAAUGCGUAGAGAUCGGGGAAAGAACAUCAGUGGCGAAGGCGGCCUGCUGGGCUGUUGCUGGACGCUGAGGCGCGACAGCGUGGGGGGAGCAAACAGGG
rnacentral:rRNA from 1 species